GGGUCCGUAGCUCAGCCAGGUAGAGCACCGGCCUUUUAAGCCGGGAGUCGCGGGUUCGAAAAAUCAGAAAAAUAGGGAAGAAAUAUGUGAAAGGAAAGAAAUAUAUGAAUAAUUAGAAAUUAAUUCUAUGAUUUUGAAAAUCCCGCCGGACCCA
rnacentral:tRNA from 1 species